rnacentral:ncRNA from 1 species
GUUUCGGGGCGGAGUGAAAUUCUCCACCGGCGGUAAAGCCCGCGAGCGCCUUUGGCGUUGACCCGGUGAAAUUCCGGGGCCGACGGUUACAGUCCGGAUGAAAGAAA